GAAAAUGGCGGCCAUGGCUGCGGAGGCGGCGGCGACUGCGGCGGUGCCGGGGGACGGCGGGGCCGGCGAGGCCGAGCCCGAGAUGGAGCCGAUCCCGGGCAGCGAGGCCGGUGCGGACCCUCUACCGGCCGUCAGCGAGGCCGUGGAGUCGGCGGUGCCGGAUGGCGAGGAGGCCGACGGCGGCAAGGCCGAGGAGCCGCCACCGGUGCAGCGCGCCCGGAGCCCCGGCGGGACUCGCGAGCCGGACGCGGGAAGGACGGAGGAGCCGCCGCCGCCGCCGCGCAGCCCGGGGGUGGAAUCGCCGCGGGCCGAGCCCCGCGCAGCGCCCAGCCCGGGCUGCUCGGAGCCGCCGCAGCCCUGCCCGCCGCUGGAGCCGGCCCGGGAGCCGCCGCAGCCCUGCCCGCCGGCUGCCGGGGGCUCCGCGGGGCCCGGGGAGGAGCCGCCCCGGCCGGAGGAGGAGGAGCCGGAUGCUGCUGCUGCUGCCGCCGCCGCCGCGGUGGAGCCCGAGCCGGCGGUGCCCGCGGCCCCGGGCGGAGGGGAGGCGGAGGUGCCGGCGCUGCUGCCCGGCUCCGAGGUGCGGGUCACCCUGGACCACAUCAUCGAGGACGCCCUGGUGGUCUCGUUCCGGCUGGGAGAGAAGCUUUUUUCCGGGGUCCUCAUGGACCUCUCGAAAAGGUUUGGCCCCCAUGGAAUCCCUGUGACCAUAUUUCCUAAAAGGGAGUACAAGGACAAACCUGAAGCCAUGCAGCUCCAAAGCAAACCAUUCCAAGAGGAGGUGCAGGUGAAGUGCGAGGCCGACGCCGCGGUCCCUGAUGACUCCUCGCUCACGCAGCCCUCAGAGCCCAGCAUAGCUAAAAGCCUUUGGACUUCUAAACCACCUCCCCUCUUUCACGAGGGAGCUCCCUACCCUCCUCCUUUGUUUAUCAGGGACACCUACAACCAGUCAAUACCUCAGCCUCCACCCCGGAAAAUCAAGCGGCCCAAGCGGAAAAUGUACAGGGAGGAACCCACUUCCAUCAUGAACGCCAUCAAGCUACGGCCCCGGCAGGUGCUGUGUGACAAGUGCAAAAACAGCGUGGUGGCAGAGAAAAAGGAGAUCAAGAAAGGUGGCAAUGCAAGUGACUCUUCCAAAUACGAGGACAGUAAAAAGCGAAGAAACGAGAGCGUGACUACUGUGAAUAAAAAACUUAAGACUGACCACAAGGUGGAUGGAAAAAGCCAAAACGAAAGCCAGAAAAGGAACGCUGUGGUCAAGGUUUCAAAUAUUGCCCACAGCAGAAGCAGAGUAGUUAAAGUUUCCGCACAAGCAAAUACUUCAAAAGCGCAGUUAAACACAAAAAAAGUUCUCCAGAGCAAAAACAUGGAUCAUGCAAAAGCUCGGGAAGUCUUGAAAAUGGCCAAAGAAAAGGCACAAAAGAAGCAGAGUGCAACCUCCUCUUCCAAAAAUGCACAUUCAAAGGUCCACUUCACGCGGCGUCUUCAGAACACCAGCUCAGGGUCCCUCCCGCCCCGGUUGCGCCUAAAGCCGCAGCGGUACCGCAACGAAGAGAAUGACUCUUCCCUCAAGACAGGACUUGAGAAAAUUCGGAGCGGCAAGAUGGCAACUAAGCCCCAGUCUCGCUGCUCCUCCACCCGCUCAGCAGGUGAGGCCCCUUCAGAAACCCAGAGCCCCUCAGAAGGCCCCGAAGAGGCCAGCAGUGAGGUUCAGGACACGAGUGAAGUGCAUGUAACUGUUGAUCAGGAUGACCAGCAGACACUGGGCAAGAGAGGCAGCAAAAGCAAUAUAACGGUUUACAUGACCCUUAAUCAAAAGAAAUCUGACUCUUCCAGUGCAUCAGUUUGUAGUAGUGAUAGCACAGAUGAUUUGAAAUCCACCAACUCUGAGUGUAGCUCUACUGAAAGCUUUGAUUUUCCUCCAGGCAGCAUGCAUGCACCUUCCUCCUCCUCCUCCUCUUCCUCCUCCUCCUCCUCUUCGAAGGAAGAGAAAAAGCUCAGUAAUUCCUUGAAAACAGAAGUCUUUUCCAAAAACGUCUCUAAAUGUGUCACACCAGAUGGCAGGACCGUAUGUGUAGGGGACAUUGUUUGGGCCAAGAUUUAUGGCUUCCCUUGGUGGCCGGCCCGUAUCCUUACCAUAACGGUGAGCCGCAAGGAUAGCGGGCUGCUGGUGCGCCAGGAGGCUCGCAUCUCGUGGUUCGGCUCCACCACCACCUCCUUCCUGGCUCUUGCACAGCUCUCCCCCUUUUUAGAAAGCUUCCAGGUGCGCUUUAAUAAGAAGAGAAAGGGUCUGUACCGCAAGGCCGUCACUGAGGCAGCCAAGGCUGCCAAGCAGCUCACGCCCGAGGUGCGGGCCCUGCUGACGCAGUUUGAGACGUGAACGUGGAGAGUAAGGCAAAGGAAGGAGGAACAAAGGCAGGAGCUGAGGAUGGACAACUCCAGCUGGAAAGGAGGCACAUGCUGGUUACCAGGAGGAAAUUCCCCAGUCUCCAGCUGAGAACGAAUAUUUGCAGCUCCCCAGGCUUUCAAAGGGGUGAAGCAGGAACAGAGUGGAAGGAACAGAAAUCCUGUCCCUGGAGCAGCAGGUUGGAAAAGGCCACUGGUAACUGGGCACAAGAGCCAGCCACAGGCCAAAGGGACGCAGCACCAAAUUGCCCAGAUCCUUCAGUUUGCCUGCAGUGACAUUCCAAGAGAACACAGUGAGAGCUGAGCAGAGGAAAAUCCCAUGGAAUUCCACCCAGCUACAGCCCAGCCCUGCUGAUUUAUCCAGCACAGGUAAAUGCUGAGGAAAUCUCUGCAUUUUGUUAAUAUUCAGGCUCUUAGGAGAAUCAAAAAUCACUGUUAAAUAUGCACAGAGUAUGAGAGUUAAUAAAGUCCUGUCAGUAUAAGGAUCACACAUGAUUCCUGACUCUGGAAAAUGGAUCUUGCUACAGCUGUAAGAGGGGAAGGACAACAAAAGGACAUCCUUUAAAAAAAUCCUAUAUAGAAAUUACAGAAUAGAUAAAGUGAAACAGGAAGCAGAGGUAACAACUUCACUGCUGGCUGAACACAAACCCCUGGCAUGACAACACAAAGGAAGAAGAUGGCCAGUUUUCAAAGAAAAACAUUCUUUUCCUCCUGGUUUCAAUGUAGAACUGUAGAUUUCCCAAAGGAAAAGCAGAAGUUUGGACAAGUUGAAGCCUUCUCAAGGUUUGCCUCCCCAGGCAUACCCCAUCUCUCCAAAAGCUCCCACCUGCACUGAUCCUCAGGGAAUGGGUUUUGUUUUGCUGAGAGCUGAGUGUGACAACAGAAAUUGCUGCCAUGGAAAAUCCACUGAGCAGCUGCAGCAGCCAAGGGCCUGGAACACCUGGGAAUGCCACAGCUAUUCCUGCCUGGAGGGGCUUGGAGUCCUGAGAACCCCCUGGGACUGUGCUCACCUCCCCUGGGCCUCUGGGGCAAGUGAAAUCCUGGAAUUUGGGCUGGAAGGGACCUCAAAAAUCAUCUAUUCCACCCCUGCCAUGUCAGGGGCACCUCACACUGUCCCAGGUGCUCCCAGCCCUGUCCAGCCUGGCCUGGGACACUGCCAGGGAUCCAGGGGCAGCCAGAGCUGCUCUGGGCACCUGUGCCAGGGCCUGCCCACCCUCACAGGGAAGGAUUUCUUCCCAGUAUCUGGAAAAAGAAAACCCUGAGCCCACCAAAGCAAAUGGGUUGGGAGACACAAAUUUCCUUCAACUUGACUUUUUUAAUGGGAAUUCACAGAUGAGGUGGUCCAGCAGCAGCUCAGGUAGGAUUAAACUCUUUGUACAUCUUUAUUAUUUUUUAAGGUACACCUGUUGAAGAUGACAUUCAUCCCUUUAUGCAGCACCCUGAAAGUAUUUUUGGUAGCAUCUGUCUGAGUGACAUGAAGAGGUUUUUUUGUACUUCUGGACAAACAUUUGGCCAGGGCUGAGCUUCAGGUCUGGGGUGAGCAUUGUCUCAGUGGAGAAUCCUGCAGAAUCUGGCGUGGCUGGAGCCCCCCAGCACUGCAGCUGGGCAGGAGAGCAGAGCUUGCCUGGCAGGACACUGGAGAGGUUUCCUCCAAUUGCAGGGAGCUGGAUGCUCUUUUCCAAACCCAUAAACACCCCCUGCAGCUGGAGCAGCUCCCCAGCACAGCAGGGCUUGGGGCUUUAUGAUAAUUCCAGCAGCACAUCCCAGCUCACCUUCCUGCUCUGUCCCUCCCCAGGCAGGCUUGGGGCAGCCACACUGAAUUAAUUGUUAAUGAGGCAAAGAAAGCCUUGGCUUUUCCGGGCACUCCAGCCCAGAGCUGCUGCUGCUGUCCUGGCACACACAGAGCCAGCAUUGUAGGGGAGCUCUGUCUCCUCCUCCCACAGCUCCUUUCAGCCCUAAAUUAAGGGCUGUAGUGAACUGCAACCCCCUCCUAAAGAAAAGCUCCCUCACAGCCUGUGCUGGGAGGAAGGAAAAGGCACCACGUGGAGCUGGGACUCAGCUGCAGAGGCUGCCCAGCCUCCACCACUCCCUGUCCCCAAGCAGGGUCACCCUCUCCUCCCUCUGCCCUUAUUCUCACACAUUUUGCUCUUUUUCCUUCAAACACACCCUGUUUAUUUUCCACCUGCAACUCCAGCACAUUCAGGUUUUUCACCAAAGCAAAUAUUCAGAGGUUAACAAGAAAACAGAACUGUAAAAAUCAAUUUAGGGCUCAGAAGUCUGUGAUUCAUUACUCACCUAAACUGCAAUUCAACACCCUAUUGAAAGAGGCAGAUGCAGGAAAAGAUUACUCACAAUUUACAUUAAGAUGUAACAGCCAAAAUUAAUUGCUAUUCAGUCUUUCUGGCAAUAAUUCUGGCUUAGUUGCUGGUGUUAAUGUGAGGUUUGGAAGUUGAAAAGCUCCAUCUUGCUUGUGUAAAGAAUUCUUUUGGAGAAAAGACAAAUUUCCUGAUGAGGUCUCUUCUCUGUGUAACUUCUUGUAUUACCAAUAUUUUUAAGCAAUUAAAAGAGCAAGGGCAAAUCCUUCUCCCUUCCCUAAAUGGUAAAUGACGACUGAACUGUAACUGUAAUUUGGCUCUGAUUUAACUACUUAAAAUCACCUUGUGCAGGGUUGGGGUUUAGCAGCUCAGUUGCAAACACAACAUAAUUGUCAAUAGAAAAAAAAAAACCAAACCCAAAUAAACCCCAUAAUUCUUUAGGCACAAAGCCUGAUAAAUGUCUUCGCUGAUCUCAGGUAGCUGGAAAAAUCUCUUUUGGGCAGGAAGGCCCAGGUGAGGAGCUCUGGCCCUCAGACUGCUAAAACCAUUCCAAAGCCCCCCUCUCCUCACACCCUCUCCCCAAAGGAGUGCUCCCAGAUAUCACAAUAAUUAUAAAAGUCUCUGAACAAGACUGCAAAUCAUUGGCCUUAAGGAGAGAAACACAAAACACCCCAGAGAAUGGUCACUGGUCACACCC